AUUUAAGUAGUUUAAAAAAAAUAUUGAUUUGUGGUGUCAAAGAUGUCCUAACCCUUAARUA
rnacentral:tRNA from 1 species